GAUGAACGCUGGCGGCGUGCUUAACACAUGCAAGUCGAACGAAGCAAUUUAGCGGAAGUUUUCGGAUGGAAGCUAGAUUGACUGAGUGGCGGGCGGGUGAGUAACGCGUGGGUAACCUGCCUCACACUGGGGGACAACAGUUAGAAAUGACUGCUAAUACCGCAUAAGCGCACAGGACCGCAUGGUCUAGUGUGAAAAACUCCGGUGGUGUGAGAUGGACCCGCGUUUGAUUAGCUAGUUGGUGGGGUAACGGCCUACCAAGGCGACGAUCAAUAGCCGGCCUGGGAGGGUGACCGGCCACAUGGGGACUGCGGCACGGCCCAAACUCCUACGGGAGGCAGCAGUGGGGAAUAUAGCACAAUGGGGGAAACCCUGAUGCGGCGACGCCGCGUGAGUGAAGAAGUAUUUCGGUAUGUAAAGCUCUAUCAGCAGGGAAGAAAAUGACGGUACCUGACUAAGAAGCCCCGGCUAACUACGUGCCAGCCGCCGCAGUAA
rnacentral:rRNA from 1 species